rnacentral:tRNA from 4 species
GCCGGGAUGGCGGAAUUGGUAGACGCAAGGGACUUAAAAUCCCUCGGAGCUUAGCUCUGUGCCGGUUCGAUUCCGGCUCUCGGCA